rnacentral:tRNA from 1 species
GCGGGGAUAUCUCAGUUGGGAGAGCGUUAGACUGAAUAUUGAAGGUCGCGUGUUCGAUCCACGUUCACCGCA